UAGUAUUUAGGAUAUAUUAAUCUAUUAUAUUGUCAAUGUAAUGAACAAUUAUGCUAAUUGAAUACUAU